rnacentral:rRNA from 1 species
UACGGGGGGAGCAAGCGUUGUUCGGAUUUACUGGGCGUAAAGGGCGCGUAGGCGGCCACGACAAGUCACUUGUGAAAUCUCCGGGCUUAACUCGGAAAGGUCAAGUGAUACUGUCGGGCUAGAGUACAGAAGGGGCAACUGGAAUUCUCGGUGUAGCGGUGAAAUGCGUAGAUAUCGAGAGGAACACCUGCGGCGAAGGCGGGUUGCUGGGCUGAUACUGACGCUGAUGCGCGAAAGCGUGGGGAGCAAACAGG